rnacentral:misc_RNA from 1 species
AAGGAUCAUUAAAGAGUUAGGGUCUUCUAGGCCCGAUCUCCCAACCCUUUGUUUAUUGAACCUCUGUUGCUUCGGCGGACCCGUCUCACGGCCGCCGGAGGACCGCUGAAAGGCGUCCUCUGGCCAGCGUCCGCCGAUAGCCAACCACUUAAACUCUGAAUAAAUCGUGUCAUAUGUCUAAGUCUAUGAUUAAAUUAAAGCAAAACUUUCAACAACGGAUCUCUUGGUUCUG